rnacentral:piRNA from 1 species
UCCUAGGACCUUUAUGUUAUAGGACCUCUGC